UCUCCGUUGGUGAACCAGCGGAGGGAUCAUUACCGAGUGCAAACUCAUAACCCUUUGUGAACCUAUAUCUGCUGCUUCGGCGGCUCGCUCUCGGGCGAGCCCGCCGGUAAUAUCGGUAUCUCUGUUUGAACCCGACGAUACUUCUGAGUGUUCUUAGCGAACAGUUAAAACUUUUAACAACGGAUCUCUUGGCUCUA
rnacentral:misc_RNA from 1 species